AACUACUGGGCCCAGCUAGCCCGGUUAGUGCUAUCUCCCCCUCAGUGACACUUGUGUGCAGAGGGCUGGGUACUGGAGCAAACAGCUCUGGGGCUGCGUAAGAGGAUCAGAAUUUGUGCAGUCUGCACUGCUUCCGCUGCAGGAGGGUGACUGCAGGAGCUGAAAUCCAAGUGAUGUCCAUGUCCAUAUCUUGUGAAUCAGUUUGGGGCAUUCUUUGUAAGCUCAUUUUUGUACAAGGAUAGCACGUGCUCUGGAGCGUGGGGUGAGCUGUAAAUGGGGAAAGCAGACAAACUUGCAUUGUAGGAGUUUCUAGGGAUGCUGUGAAUCUCUUGUUACACCUACUGAGUUUGGAUUCAGUCUUGGUGAAGGGGGCGAUAUUUCUUUAGUGAUCCUCUUUUCUUUUCUUGCACUGAGCGCUGAUUUGUGAUAAAUACUGCUUCCCAUCCCAUAAGAGGUGUCUCAUGCUGCUGACUGUCUUGCAGAGGAAGUGUUCCAGGUGAACAUUUUGAUUUUUUCGUAGGCAUCUUCUCACUGUGAACAGCAAUGGCAAGCCCAUCCACUGCUGACUUACUCCGGCUUGAGCACUGCUUGUAGAAUCAUAGGAUAUCCUGGGUUGAAAAGGGCCACAAGUUUCAACCGCACUGCCAUGAGCAGGGUCGCCAACCACUAGACCAGGCUGCCCAGAGCCACAUCCAGCCUGGCCUUGCACAGCUCAGUGUAGCCUCUCAUCAGUGUGAAAGCCUUGGUUUGUGACACUGGGCCAGUGCUGGUUGGCCAACAAUAUCUAUUCUGGCUCCUGCCUUAAGUGCUGGUUUCUUGCCUUACCCCUUCUCCAGGGCCAUUGUGCUCAUUGUGAUUAAUAGAAUCAUUAAGAUUGGAAAGACUACUAAGAUCACAUACUCCAACUAUCAACCCAUGCCUGUGACUGCUCCAGACCAUAUCUCUCAGUGUAACAUCCACUCUUUUCUUGAACAUCUGCAGGGAUGGUGACUCCACCAUCUCCCUAGGCAGCCUGUUCCAAUGUCUCACCUUUCCUAAAAGAUCAUACUAUGAUCACUAAAAGAUCAUUAGAUGUUGAGGAAUGGAAGUUUGUGGUUGACCAUUAAAUUCCUUUGGCUUGCUACAGUGACAGCACAUCUGGACUAGAGGUGAAACACUGAUUACCAUCAACACUCCCAGCUGUGAGAAGCAUCUUUUGGACCCCUUUUAUAGAAGGCUUGACCAACUGGAACAGGUUGCUUAGCGAUGUGGUUGAUGCCCUGUCCCUGGAGACUUUCAAGGUGAGGCUGGAUCAGGCCUGGGCAACCUGAUGUAGUUGUGGUGUCCCUGUUCAUUGGUGGGGCGAAGGACUAGAUGUUCUUUAGCAGUCCCUUCUGUCUCUAAGGAUUCUAUGAUCAGAGGUAAUCCAUUGAGUUGAUCUUUGCUUCUUGUUUGGCUGCUGCUGAACUUGUGAGUUCUCUUUCAUUCCCUGCCUUUUGCUGACUUCUGCUUUUUCUGUCUUGUCCUGGCCUUGGUAUUCCUAGCAUCAUAGACACUGGUGGGCUUCACCCCAAAACCUGACCAGAUUCAUCCUGAGACCUUUGUAUUAGCUGCCACGACUAUUACAAAAUCGGCACUGAAAAUAAGCUUCCAAAAAGUUUAGAAAGAAACAGUAAAUGGCUCCAAAAUUACACAGAGAAGUAAGAAGUAAAGCAGAUUUUAUUAUAAGAGCUUCGGUGGAUUGAAUAGAUCAUAUUGUAAAUCAAUACAUAUUAGAGACUACAGAUAAAGUGUACAAGAAAGAUAAGUAAAGGUAUUUGAGCUCAGUUCCGUGCUGGGGUGCUGUUUUUACACUUCAACUGCCCCAUAUCUUAUAUAUGGGAGCUAUCUUAUAUGCACUAAUAUUUU
ensembl:lncRNA